UUGGUCAUUUAGAGGAAGUAAAAGUCGUAACAAGGUUUUCGUAGGUGAACCUGCGGAAGGAUCAUUAUCGAGUUUUGAACGGGUUGUAGCUGGCCUCUCACGAGGCAUGUGCACGCCUGGCUCAUCCACUCUUAACCUUUGUGCACUUUAUGUAAGAGAAAAAAAUGGUGGAAGCUUCCAGGAUCUCGCGAGAGGUCUUCGGUUGAACAAGCCGUUUUUCUUUCUUAUGUUUUACUACAAACGCUUCAGUUAUAGAAUGUCAACUGUGUAUAACACAUUUAUAUACAACUUUCAGCAACGGAUCUCUUGGCUCUCGCAUCGAUGAAGAACGCAACGAAAUGCGAUAAGUAAUGUGAAUUGCAGAAUUCAGUGAAUCAUCGAAUCUUUGAACGCACCUUGCACUCCUUGGUAUUCCGAGGAGUAUGCCUGUUUGAGUCUCAUGGUAUUCUCAACCCCUAAAUUUUUGUAAUGAAGGUUUAGCGGGCUUGGACUUGGAGGUUGUGUCGGCCCUCGCUGGUCGACUCCUCUGAAAUGCAUUAGCGUGAAUCUUACAGAUCGCCUUCAGUGUGAUAAUUAUCUGCGCUGUGGUGUUGAAGUAUUUAUGGUGUUCAUGCUUCGAACCGUCUCCUUGCCGAGACAAUCAUUUGACAAUCUGAGCUCAAAUCAGGUAGGACUACCCGCUGAACUUAAGCAUAUCAAUAAG
rnacentral:rRNA from 1 species